GUAGUCUCGCACAGAUGCAUAUCAAUAAGCGGAGGAAAAGAAACUAACAAGGAUUCCCCUAGUAACGGCGAGUGAAGCGGGAAGAGCUCAAAUUUGAAAUCUUAAAGGGUUUCCCUUUACGAAUUGUAGUUUAAAGAAGUGUUUUCUGUUGAGGUUUUGGUAAAAGUUCUUUGGAAUAGGACAUCAUAGAGGGUGAGAAUCCCGUAUUUGACCUUUACUUUCAACUUUGUGAUACACUUUCAAAGAGUCGGAUUGUUUGGGAAUGCAGUCCAAAAUGGGUGGUAAAUUUCAUCUAAAGCUAAAUAUUGGCGAGAGACCGAUAGCGAACAAGUACCGUGAGGGAAAGAUGAAAAGAACUUUGAAAAGAGAGUUAAACAGUACGUGAAAUUGUCAAAAGGGAAGCGUUUGACACCAGUGUUGUUUUUCUGAAAAUCAAUUAAAGAACUGUUUAUGCUAAGCUGUUUAGACUUUAUCAGCUAUCUGUUUAGUUUUGAGCUUUUCUUUAAUGCACUUUUCAGUUAACAAGUCAACAUCAAUUUCUUUUGCUGUAAAAAAGCUUGAGGAAGGUGGCUUGAGAUUCGUCUUAAGUGUUUAUAGCCUCUUGCCUAUGCAGUCGGAGAGAUUGAGGUCUGCAGCGUAGAUCCUUCGGGGCUAAAUGCAUUUGUGCUAAGUUAUAACAUUUUAUAGACAACUUGUUGACUAUGAUUUGUCUUGUAGCUUACUCGCUUAUGUUAUUUUACCUACGCUUAGGAUGUUGAUCUGUAGUGCGUGCGC
rnacentral:rRNA from 1 species